GUUCACGCGAACUCUACACACAGGCGUGCGCUGUCUGUUUGAAUCGUGCGGUACGCCGAAUGAACCGUUGACCACUGUCGUUAAGCUCGCGCGCUACAUUUUUAAGAUAAACGACGUACAAGCACAUACUCAGGGUUUUACUCACUGAAGACAGUCGCGUACGAACUGCGGACGUUGUAGACUGAAGUGCUUUAUAACCCAUGUGGUUUGUCUAGCGGGCAGCGAGCUUGUGAUAACCAGUUAAAGAGAGGAAAAUGGCCUCGAACGAGCUGUCGGCGAAGCUUCACCGGCGGCUGAAGAUAGAGGAGGGCGAGGAGGAGCCGCAUGCCGUGGACGAGGGUCAUGAGAACGGCGCGCACGAGAAAGCGAGCACUACCAAUGCCGACUCGGAGCUGGGAGCCAAACUUCUGCGGCGAGGCGAGCUGAACGAGGGAAUGGGCGAGCACCAGCAGCCCAGCAUGAAGGUGUUCAACCCGUACACUGAGUUCAAGGAGUUCUCCAGGAAGCAGAUUAAGGACAUGGAGAAAAUGUUUAAAUUGUAUGACUCAGAGAAGGAUAACUACAUUGACCUGAUGGAGCUGAAGCUGAUGAUGGAGAAGCUCGGUGCUCCACAGACUCACAUGGGCCUGAAGAAUAUGAUCAAAGAGGUGGAUGAAGACUUGGAUGGCAAACUGAACUUCAGAGAGUUCCUCCUGAUCUUCAGGAAGGCAGCAGCAGGGGAGCUGGCUGAGGACAGCGGGUUAUGUGUCUUAGCUCGUCUCUCUGAAAUUGACGUGUCCACUGAGGGUGUGAAAGGAGCAAAGUCUUUCUUUGAAGCCAAAGUAAUACAUUUAUUUAAUUUUCUUCCAUUUACUUCAAAGCAUAUAAACAAGUUUCAUGUCUCAAGGUGUUGGUGGGUCCUUAAGCUCUUAAUUUGUUUAGAUUUGCUUUUUCUUUUUUCUUUUUUUUUCUUUUUAAACAAUGAAUGGAUUUAAGUAUUAAAUUGUAUUACAUUGGAGUUUACAUGGUCCUAGAUUUUGGGAUUUAUAAGCAGUUCUUUCUUUAAUUUUUUUUACAUUAAAUUUUUUCCUUAUGUAAUUGGAUCUGUUGUGAAAACAUUUGACCGCGCGCACACGCACACAUAGACCCAGUGCAUGAUACUGGGUCAUUCAUAACUGUGAUGCCCUGACAAUCUUCCCCUUAAAUGGAUCUCUAACAUCAGCGCUUAACAUCAGUUGCUUUGUCACUGCUGUCGAGUCUCUCUUGUUCACACACAUGCACAUAAACAUUUCCAUUCUUAUGGAGCACUGAAUGCCAUUCUGUAGUCAUUUUGUCUUAUUGUUUGUUAGUGUAUUAUUGUUUAACUAGCCAGUCCUUUUGAAAAAUGCACAACACACAAUCAUCAGUACUAAUUUGUCCGAUUUGUGUCAGACAUCUUUGUUCAUACCUUGUGUGCAUGUUUGUCUUUUAUCUGAGAAGCUCAUGAGGGAGGAGGGAUAUCAGAGAUUAUAAGGAGUGCAGAGUUAAACACUCAUCUCCUCCUUUUAACUGCAUGCACUAAUGCUUUAGCAUCAGGUGCCAGUGUUUGUGCAUGCUGAGGACAGCGGGUUAUGUGUCUUAGCUCGUCUCUCUGAAAUUGACGUGUCCACUGAGGGUGUGAAAGGAGCAAAGUCUUUCUUUGAAGCCAAAGUAAUACAUUAUUUAAUUUUCUUCCAUUUACUUCAAAGCAUAUAAACAAGUUUCAUGUCUCAAGGUGUUGGUGGGUCCUUAAGCUCUUAAUUUGUUUAGAUUUGCUUUUUCUUUUUUCUUUUUUUUUCUUUUUAAACAAUGAAUGGAUUUAAGUAUUAAAUUGUAUUACAUUGGAGUUUACAUGGUCCUAGAUUUUGGGAUUUAUAAGCAGUUCUUUCUUUAAUUUUUUUUACAUUAAAUUUUUUCCUUAUGUAAUUGGAUCUGUUGUGAAAACAUUUGACCGCGCGCACACGCACACAUAGACCCAGUGCAUGAUACUGGGUCAUUCAUAACUGUGAUGCCCUGACAAUCUUCCCCUUAAAUGGAUCUCUAACAUCAGCGCUUAACAUCAGUUGCUUUGUCACUGCUGUCGAGUCUCUCUUGUUCACACACAUGCACAUAAACAUUUCCAUUCUUAUGGAGCACUGAAUGCCAUUCUGUAGUCAUUUUGUAUUAUUGUUUGUUAGUGUAUUAUUGUUUAACUAGCCAGUCCUUUUGAAAAAUGCACAACACACAAUCAUCAGUACUAAUUUGUCCGAUUUGUGUCAGACAUCUUUGUUCAUACCUUGUGUGCAUGUUUGUCUUUUAUCUGAGAAGCUCAUGAGGGAGGAGGGAUAUCAGAGAUUAUAAGGAGUGCAGAGUUAAACACUCAUCUCCUCCUUUUAACUGCAUGCACUAAUGCUUUAGCAUCAGGUGCCAGUGUUUGUGCAUGCUGAGGACAGCGGGUUAUGUGUCUUAGCUCGUCUCUCUGAAAUUGACGUGUCCACUGAGGGUGUGAAAGGAGCAAAGUCUUUCUUUGAAGCCAAAGUCCAUGCCAUUAACGAGUCGAACCGUUUCGAGGCAGAGAUCCGUAACGAGCAGGAGGAGAAGAAACGACAGGCAGAGGAGAAGAAACAGAGACAAGCGGCAUUCAAAAAUCUACAGUCAGCCUUCAAAUGACCGCCUUCCUGUCCUAUUAGUGCCCUGCUUUAACCAUCCUCCUCUUCCUCAUUGUUUGUGUCAGUCUCCUGUUUAUCAGAGCACCAUGGCAGAGAUACUAUGCAACGCUUUUAGAGGUUUCCAUUCCAGGUUCACUCCCUUAGUGAGGGCUCGUAGUGUCAGUUUCAAGCUUAGACCUUUAAGUAGGGUGUUGAAGUGGCUACUGAGAUCCUCACUAUUUGUCUCUCUUGAUUUUGAACUUGCAGUCCUCUAAGGACAUGUCUCUUUACACUGGACUGGAUGUGUCACUUGCCUAAUUUGUUCUCCACUGCUAUAACUUAACACACAUUUUGCAUAUGUGAGGUGCUUUCUAUUUCACUUCACUGUCACAUUGUUCUUUAGUCAAAUAAGCAAGACAGAGGUGUGAGUAUCUCUUUUAAAGGGAAUUUUUAAAAAUGUUUUUAAACUGUCGGAUUAUAUCGGCGCAUCCAGUCCAUUGUGACCCUCUUGUAUUCAGCAUCAUGUGUUGUGGAAUAAAGUCUAGGUUUCAUCUUGCUAACUGGAUUAGUACAGCAAAUAUUAUUAUGAACUUAAACCUUGCUUAAGAGUUCUGUAUUUUUACACUGUGGCUUGGAAGGGAAUGUGUUAACAUGCAUGUGCUGUUGGUUGGGUUUUAUUUUUUUGAAUGAUAACUGUGAUGCCCUGACAAUCUUCCCCUUAAAUGGAUCUCUAACAUCAGCGCUUAACAUCAGUUGCUUUGUCACUGCUGUCGAGUCUCUCUUGUUCACACACAUGCACAUAAACAUUUCCAUUCUUAUGGAGCACUGAAUGCCAUUCUGUAGUCAUUUUGUCUUAUUGUUUGUUAGUGUAUUAUUGUUUAACUAGCCAGUCCUUUUGAAAAAUGCACAACACACAAUCAUCAGUACUAAUUUGUCCGAUUUGUGUCAGACAUCUUUGUUCAUACCUUGUGUGCAUGUUUGUCUUUUAUCUGAGAAGCUCAUGAGGGAGGAGGGAUAUCAGAGAUUAUAAGGAGUGCAGAGUUAAACACUCAUCUCCUCCUCUUAACUGCAUGCACUAAUGCUUUAGCAUCAGGUGCCAGUGUUUGUGCAUGCUAUAGCCAGUACACAAAUUUAAGCAUUUGGAAAUGUUUCGAUCCUUCUUUUGAAAUGUAGUCUGGUGCUAGUACGAAAAUAUAGUUGCUUACCUCUCAGCAAAGUCGUUUAGACUAAAAUGUGGUCUGUAACUUUGUGGCAAGUAGAUAUUUUUUUUUUUCUGCAUGGUGUGUAACAUCAGACUGGCAAAUUAAUUUUUAAUUACUUUAAAUUCUGCAAAUAAUGUUUUACUCUGGAGAAAAAGGGCACAUUGUUGUAGACAAAAUUGUCUCCAUGCUUCCAUUUGAAUGAUUUUAAAUCAUAAUUGAAUUUCAGUUGUUUGACAUUUAAAGCUAAAACUUGUGUGAUUUGCAGCACGUGUCAGCACAGGUAACCGAGAGAAUCAAAUAUUUUUUCCAGAAAUAAAGUUGCAGAACUAAACUGCCUUUAGUUUUGUAUGAUGAGGGGCCUUUUGAAAACGUUCCUUGAAAUGCCAUCCUUGUUCACAAACUUGUCUCCUUUCACAUCAUCAGGUGUUCCUCACAGUUUAAGUGCUGUUCUGUGAUUGAAUGUGAGAUUUUUCUGCAUUUAUUUUUUAUUUUUGAGCUAGUGGUCUGCUAUGCAUCCAUUUAUAUUCUUGUUAAGUACAUAUAUUUGGAGUCCCUGGCAGUCUGUGAUGAUUUUGUAUUAUGAAUAAACAAACAAUAGAUGCAUGGCUAUGUUGAAUAGCUUUAUGUCUUCAGAUGUAUUUGAGUGUUCUGCAGAUUAAAUGUGGGGUUUGAGUCAAUAAUCUAGUGUGUGUGUGUGUGUGUGUGUGUGUGUGGGUGGGUGGUGGUGGUGGUGGUGUAGAUUUCUGAUGGAAACACUGGAGUACCUGAGGGACAUAAAAAUUGUGUGAUCCUCCAUCAUUAUUUAACUUGCUAUGAAAAACAUGUACACCAGAUAUUUGGAUACAUUAUAAAAUUACAAUGUACAUGAAGACAUUGUGGAAGAUUCAGUGUACAGAAUGUAGAAAUGGAUUCCACAAGCCAUUCAAUAAACCGUGUCUGCUUAAGUAGCCAUUCUGUAAUUCUCUGUAUAAAUUUUCCAGGUUGUCAGGCAUGACAUUUCAUGUGUCCGAGGGUUUAUUGUGAUUAUGUUCAUCAAAUUACAUGGAGAAUGUUAUAAUCCAGAUUGAAAGACUUUGAACUUUAUGCUGACCACUAGCCAGCACAGCACGUUAUCCAAUUAGCCAACUCUCAGACCACGUCUGCUUUUAUUUUUUACCUCUCACUUACUUCAGUGUUUCCAUUGCAAAGGGAUGUACUGGUAACUUAGUGACUGGUGGUUAAUGGACCAGUGCUUUCUAACUCCACCUUGUCUGUAGGCAGCCAAAAUACUGUACUGUUCCUCAAUGUUGUUUUGAUUUUCUUUGUUAAAUGUUUUAACAAAGCUCUGUUUGCUUUACUAAUUUUCACAUAAUUCCAUUAAUUCAAUAUUGUGGUUGACCAUAAAAAAAAGUGACCAUAAACUGAGAGAUGUUUUCAUGA